rnacentral:SRP_RNA from 1 species
CCGUGCUAGAUGGGGAGGUAGCGGUGCCCUGAACCCGCAAUCCGCUGCAGCGGGGUUGAAUCCCUGCCCGAGGCCCUUCCCUUGUGGGGCUGGCCGGAGUAAGUGGCAAAGACGGUUGGGUCCUGCGCAACGAGGCCUUCUGAACCCCGUCAGGCCCGGAAGGGAGCAGCGGUAAGGAAUGUGUCGCGUGUGCCGCGGGAGCGCCUGACCCGAGUUAACUGCUUUGGUAUCGACCGGAAGGAGAGCGCCGACGGCAGGUGCGCGG